ACAAACUUGGUCAUUUAGAGGAAGUAAAAGUCGUAACAAGGUUUUCGUAGGUGAACCUGCGGAAGGAUCAUUUUCACUUAAAAUUUAUAAACCCUCGCGAACUGUUUUUCCUUCUUGGAAGAGUGGUGGGGCUUCAUCUGGGUAUUGCGUAGUUUUCGAACUGCGAGAUGACCUCAUUGCCUAGUUACUUAAAGCUGUACAGCUUUACUUAGCUGGACCUCUUCCCUGAAGCGUUAUCUUCAUUACCCAUUUCACCCUUACAAACCCUUGUAUUAAUUUGAACUGAUCUGAUCUCAAUUAGCUUGGUAGCACCUUUCGGGGCGCUCCGCGUUGAGAUUUUAUUAUUAAACUAAAGAACAACUCUUAACAACGGAUAUCUUGGUUCCCGCAUCGAUGAAGAACGCAGC
rnacentral:misc_RNA from 1 species